rnacentral:rRNA from 1 species
AUAAUCAUUAGUCUUUUAAUUGAAGGCUGGUAUGAAUGGUUGGACGAGAUAUUAACUGUUUCAUAAAAAUUUAUAAUAGAAUUUUAUUUUUUAGUCAAAAAGCUAAAAUAAAAUUAAAAGACGAGAAGACCCUAUAAAUCUUUAUAUAUAAAUUAUUAGAAUUUUGUAGAUUUUUUUUAUUAUAAUAAUUGAUUAUAUUUUAUUGGGGUGAUAUUAAAAUUUAAUAAACUUUUAAUUAUUAAAAUCAUUAAUUUAUGACUAAUUGAUCCGUUAAUAACGAUUAAAAAAAUAAGUUACUUUAGGGAUAACAGCGUAAUUUUUUUGGAGAGUUCAUAUCGAUAAAAAAGAUUGCGACCUCGAUGUUGGAUUAAGAUAUAAUUUUAGGUGUAGCCGCUUAAAUUUUAAGUCUGUUCGACUUUUAAAUUCUUACAUGAUCUGAGUUCAAACCGGCGUAAGCCAGGUUGGUUUCUAUCUUUAAUAA